GAUGAAGAACGUAGCGAAAUGCGAUAAGUAGUGUGAAUUGCAGAAUUCAGUGAAUCAUCGAAUCUUUGAACGCACAUUGCGCCCCUUGGUAUUCCAUGGGGCAUGCCUGUUCGAGCGUCAUUUGUACCCUCAAGCACGGCUUGUGUGUUGGGCCUCCGUCCUCCUCCCGGGGGACGGGCCCGAAAGGCAGCGGCGGCACCGCGUCCGGUCCUCGAGCGUAUGGGGCUUCGUCACCCGCUCUUGUAGGCCCGGCCGGCGCUUGCCGACACAUCAAUCUUUUUUCCAGGUUGACCUCGGAUCAGGUAGGGAUACCCGCUGAACUUAAGCAUAUCAAUAAGCGGAGGA
rnacentral:misc_RNA from 1 species